CCCCUCUACACAAUUAAUUGGAGAGAUUUGAAGAUUAAGAGGAGGAAAAAGAUGGAGCUCAUGGUAGCCAUGGCUUUCUUGAAGACAUUUCAUGGUGAAAAAUUAGAGCUUGUCUCUAAGGCCUUGGGGAGCCCGAGGCGUAGGUUGGGAUUAAUUUUAGUUGGGCAAACUUGGAGCGCGUACGAGGUACAGACGCACAGUUUGGUGAUCUACCCAUUUAGGACACCCUCUUCUGCUGUUUGGAGUGCUCUUCUCAUUUCAGAGCACACAUUUUGGUAUAUAUUCGUUCGCUAUGUAUAUAUGUAUUUGUUCAGGGGCACGGCGGGGCCCUGUCCCGCCAUAUGAUUCGGUUUGUCUGUUUAGAGGUCUGUAGACGUAUUUGUGGGUGUGUGUGCCUACUUCUGUACGGAUGUGUUUGCAUGACUCUAUUCGUUAUGGCAGCCUCGUCGGCGUGCAUUUUGUAUAUGUUGUGGCAGCCUUGUCGGCGUGCAUUUGUAUAUGCGUUUUGGGCCGUUGUGCCAUUUGACAGCCUUGUCGGCUUUUGACAUAUUUGAUAGCCUUGCCGGCUUUUUGACAUCUAUACAUAUAUAUCCGCAUACGGUUGCGUUGA